GUCCACGCUGUAAACGAUGGCAACUAGAUGUGGGGGGGUGUCGACUCCCCCCGUGUCGAAGCUAACGCAUUAAGUUGCCCGCCUGGGGAGUACGGCCGCAAGGCUAAAACUCAAAGGAAUUGACGGGGGCCCGCACAAGCAGCGGAGCAUGUUGUUUAAUUCGACGCGACGCGAAGAACCUUACCUGGGCUUGACAUGUGAGUGACCGGUGUGGAAACACACCCUCCCUUCGGGGCACUCUCACAGGUGGUGCAUGGCUGUCGU
rnacentral:rRNA from 1 species